GGGCGCUUGGCACAGGGGUAGCGCGCACGCUUCGCAUUUCGACUGCGUGAGGUCGUGGGUUCAAAUCCCACAGUGUCCA
rnacentral:tRNA from 1 species